GAUGAAGAACGCAGCAAAAUGCGAUAAGUAAUGUGAAUUGCAGAAUUCAGUGAAUCAUCGAAUCUUUGAACGCACAUUGCGCCCGCUGGUAUUCCGGCGGGCAUGCCUGUUCGAGCGUCAUUUCGACCCUCAAGCCCCCGGGUUUGGUGUUGGGGAUCGGCUCUGCCCUUCUGGGCGGUGCCGCCCCCGAAAUACAUUGGCGGUCUCGCUGCAGCCUCCAUUGCGUAGUAGCUAACACCUCGCAACUGGAACGCGGCGCGGCCAUGCCGUAAAACCCCAACUUCUGAAUGUUGACCUCGGAUCAGGUAGGAAUACCCGCUGAACUUAAGCAUAUCAAUAAGCGGAGGA
rnacentral:misc_RNA from 1 species